rnacentral:rRNA from 1 species
UUAACGUUCGGAACCGGAGCUAAUACCGGAUAAUAUAUUGAACCGCAUGGUUCAAUAGUGAAAGACGGUUUUGCUGUCACUUAUAGAUGGAUCCGCGCCGCAUUAGCUAGUUGGUAAGGUAACGGCUUACCAAGGCAACGAUGCGUAGCCGACCUGAGAGGGUGAUCGGCCACACUGGAACUGAGACACGGUCCAGACUCCUACGGGAGGCAGCAGCU